GACGAACGCUGGCGGCAUGCUUAACACAUGCAAGUCGAACGGAAAGGCCCUGCUUUUGUGGGGUGCUCGAGUGGCGAACGGGUGAGUAACACGUGAGUAACCUGCCCUUGACUUUGGGGUAACUUCAGGAAACUGGGGCUAAUACCGGAUAGGAGCUCCUGCUGCAUGGUGGGGGUUGGAAAGUUUCGGCGGUUGGGGAUGGACUCGCGGCUUAUCAGCUUGUUGGUGGGGUAGUGGCUUACCAAGGCUUUGACGGGUAGCCGGCCUGAGAGGGUGACCGGCCACAUUGGGACUGAGAUACGGCCCAGACUCCUACGGGAGGCAGCAGUGGGGAAUAUUGCACAAUGGGCGGAAGCCUGAUGCAGCAACGCCGCGUGCGGGAUGACGGCCUUCGGGUUGUAAACCGCUUUCGCCUGUGACGAAGCGUGAGUGACGGUAAUGGGUAAAGAAGCACCGGCUAACUACGUG
rnacentral:rRNA from 1 species